rnacentral:rRNA from 1 species
AUUGCAGUAGGGAAUCUUCGGCAAUGGGCGCAAGCCUGACCGAGCGAUGCCGCGUGAGGGAAGAAGGCCUUCGGGUCGUAAACCUCUGUCAGGAGGGACGAAAUGUGACGGUACCUCCAGAGGAAGCCACGGCUAACUACGUGCCAGCAGCCGCGGUAACACGUAGGUGGCGAGCGUUAUUCGGAAUCACUGGGCGUAAAGGGUCCGCAGGGGGUCUGCCAAGUCCGGUGUGAAAGCCCGCGGCUCAACCGCGGAAGUGCACUGGAAACUGGCGGACUCGAGUACAGGAGAGGAGAGCGGAAUUCCCGGUGUAGCGGUGGAAUGCGUAGAUAUCGGGAGGAACACCGACGGCGAAGGCAGCUCUCUGGCCUGUCACUGACCCUCAGGGACGAAAGCGUGGGCAGCGAACAGGAUUAGAUACCCUGGUAGUCCACGCCGUAAACGUUGUGCACUCGAUGCGGGGCCUUCGGGUUCCGUGUCCAAGCCAACGCGUUAAGUGCACCGCCUGGGGACUACGGCCGCAAGGCUAAAACUCAAAGGAAUUGACGG